rnacentral:rRNA from 1 species
UACGAAGGGGGCUAGCGUUGCUCGGAAUGACUGGGCGUAAAGGGCGCGUAGGCGGCCACCGCAAGUCGGUUGUGAAAUCUCUGGGCUUAACCCAGAAAGGUCAACCGAUACUGCGGGGCUAGAGUGCAGAAGGGGCAACUGGAAUUCUCGGUGUAGCGGUGAAAUGCGUAGAUAUCGAGAGGAACACCUGCGGCGAAGGCGGGUUGCUGGGCUGACACUGACGCUGAAGCGCGAAAGCUAGGGGAGCGAACGGG